UACAGAGGGUGCGAGCGUUAAUCGGAAUUACUGGGCGUAAAGCGUGCGUAGACGGUUGCGUAAGUCAGAUGUGAAAGCCCCGGGCUCAACCUGGGAAUUGCAUUUGAGACUGCGUAGCUAGGGUGCGGAAGAGGGAAGCGGAAUUUCCGGUGUAGCGGUGAAAUGCGCAGAUAUCGGAAGGAACACCAGUGGCGAAAGCGGCUUCCUGGUCCAGCACCGACGUUCAGGCACGAAAGCGUGGGGAGCAAACAGG
rnacentral:rRNA from 1 species